rnacentral:rRNA from 1 species
AUUGAACGCUGGCGGCAGGCUUAACACAUGCAAGUCGAGCGGAGAGAGGUAGCUUGCUACUGAUCUUAGCGGCGGACGGGUGAGUAAUGCUUAGGAAUCUGCCUAUUAGUGGGGGACAACAUUUCGAAAGGAAUGCUAAUACCGCAUACGUCCUACGGGAGAAAGCAGGGGAUCUUCGGACCUUGCGCUAAUAGAUGAGCCUAAGUCGGAUUAGCUAGUUGGUGGGGUAAAGGCCUACCAAGGCGACGAUCUGUAGCGGGUCUGAGAGGAUGAUCCGCCACACUGGGACUGAGACACGGCCCAGACUCCUACGGGAGGCAGCAGUGGGGAAUAUUGGACAAUGGGCGCAAGCCUGAUCCAGCCAUGCCGCGUGUGUGAAGAAGGCCUUUUGGUUGUAAAGCACUUUAAGCGAGGAGGAGGCUACUAGUACUAAUACUACUGGAUAGUGGACGUUACUCGCAGAAUAAGCACCGGCUAACUCUGUGCCAGCAGCCGCCGUAAGAC